AGCAGCCGCGGUAAUUCCAGCUCCAUAGCGUAUAUCAAAGUUGUUGCAGUUAAGAAGCUCGUAGUUGAAUUUCGGGAUUGACGUGAUGGUCGUGCCUUACGGGGUAUGAACUGUUGCUGUUGAUUUCUCACCUUCUGGAGAAACUUGAUGUCCUUAAUUGGGUGUCUUGCGGAUCCAGGACCUUUACCUUGAAAAAAUUAGAGUGUUUAAAGCAGGCAUUUUUGCUCGAAUACAUUAGCAUGGAAUAAUAGAAUAGGACGGCAUGGUUCUAUUUUGUUGGUUUCUAGGAUCACCGUAAUGAUUAAUAGGGAUAGUUGGGGGCAUUAGUAUUCAAUUGUCAGAGGUGAAAUUCUUGGAUUUAUUGAAGACUAACUACUGCGAAAGCAUUUGCCAAGGAUGUUUUCAUUAAUCAAGAACGAAAGUUAGGGGAUCGAAGACCAUCACAUACCGUCCUACUCUUAACCAUAAACUAUGCCCACCAGGAAUCAGACGAUGUUAAUUUUUUAAUGACUCGUUUGGCACCUUACG
rnacentral:rRNA from 1 species